rnacentral:lncRNA from 1 species
AGGGACAUGGAGAAAGCAGCAUCUCUCCACCACCUUCCACCAAUCUCGCUCACACCUGUGGCCUCUUCUCAGAGUUUGCCUCCGCCAACUUGAGAACAGGGGCCUCACUGCUCUGUCAGCUGGUCCUUCCCGACAGCCUUGUACAGAGCCUCCGACCUGCAAACGUCUGCUAACGUAACCGAUGGAGUUGAGGAGGUCAUCGUUCUAUCGCCACCUAGUGGACACUUUUCCAAACUGCGGGGUUGGGGAGGAAGAUGCCCGCGAUUGACCAGGCUGGAGGUGGUGGCUAGGAGCCUUCAUAUCUGAACUCUGCUUUCCUGGUACAAGUCCCUUGGAGCAGAGACUUCCUGGAAGAGCAGGAGGAGGGCCAGGGGCCAAGAAGAAACAGGAUCAGGGACAGCUGAGGUGAUCUGGAAGAUGAGGAAGAAAAUGACGAACAGGAGGAGAGGGAAUUUCCAGGGCUGUCACUUUGAACGCAUGAUGAGGUAGGCCAUUUAACCCCACAAAGACCAGUGAAGCACAUGGUGGGACUCCUGUUUUACACACGUGGAAACCGAGGCACGGACAAAUGAAGUGGUUUGUUCUGGACCUCAGGCCCUCUCGGAAGUGGAUCUGAAUGAAGGCCAUCUUUGCCGAUG